rnacentral:rRNA from 1 species
GCGGGGUAACGGCCCACCAAGUCAACGAUGGGUAGNUGGUGUGAGAGCACGACCANCCACACGGGCANUGAGACANGGGCCCGACUCCUNCGGGAGGCAGCAGUGAGGAAUAUUGGUCAAUGGACGCAAGUCUGAACCANCCANGCCGCGUGGAGGAUGAAGGCCUUNUGGGUUGUAAACUUCUUUUAUNUGGGAAGAAAAGCNCGGUNUCUACUGUGUCCGACGGUACCAGAUGAAUAAGCNCNGGCUAACUCCGNGCCAGCAGCCGCGGUAAUACAGAGGGUGCNANNGUUAUCNGGAUUUACUGGGUUUAAAGGGUGUGUAGGCGGAUAUUUAAGUCAGAGGUGAAAUCUCCAGGCUCANCCUGGAAACUGCCUUUGAUACUAUUUAUCUUGAAUUUCGUUGAGGUUGGCAGAAUAUAUCAUGUAGCGGUGAAAUGCAUAGAUAUGAUAUAGAAUNCNGAUUGCGUAGGCANNNGGNUGAACGACGAUUGACGCUGAGGCACGAAAGCGUGGGUAGCGAACAGGAUUAGAUACCCUGGUAGUCCACGCCCUAAACGAUGAUUACUCGACAUACGCGAUACACAGUGNGUGUCUGAGCGAAAGCAUUAAGUAAUCCACCUGGGAAGUACGUCCGCAAGGAUGAAACUCAAAUGAAUUGACGGGG